rnacentral:lncRNA from 1 species
AAAGAUUGAAUUUAAAACAGAGAACAGAUGGAUAGUUGUACCUUCGAGAAAUCCGCAGGUGGGAUUAGUAAUCGCGAGCGCUGGACAGGAGUCGUCAAAUUCCUAAAGAUUAGUCAAACGCCGUCUCUGCCAGAGUGCCAUCUGUGGGUAAAGCGGAAGAAUCUUAGAUAAAGAGAAAAAGAGAAAGGAAAAUAAAAUAAUAAAAGAUUGAAACGGUUAGGGUUAGGGUAAUAUUGUGCAGGAGGAAGAGGACGAUGGAUCCUCAACAAUGCAUCGAUCGAAAGAUGGUGCAGGUGCACUCUCAAAGAGGUUAAUGUUAUGGCCGAGGAGAGCGUACUGUCGGUCGGAGAUUGAGAGUGACGGUUAGGGCAAAUGGUGAGUCCCCUCGAUGAUGGCUCAUGAGCGGAUGAGGUUAUUAGGCGGGUCUGCUGUGGACUCAUCUCAUAAUCCAAGCGGACAUCCUUUUUUUUUUUUUUAAUGACGUUUUUUUUUUUCUUUUAAGGUGAUACGGCUUGGUGAACUAGGUAUUAAGAAUCUUAAUGGACCGCGUUUUCGCGGGUUUGAACCCGUUAACGAAAACGAUCCAAUAUGCUUAGCUUUUCCUUUCGUUUCUUGCUCAAACGAAGUCAGAAUUUCGUAAGUGGAUAGUCAAAUCGAAGAGAAAUAAAAGACGAAUAACAUAAACGUACUCACUCUCUACGGACUCACUCCGGUCGACGCGAAAUCGCGAAGGAAAAUAUCAGAGAACAUCUCUCGGAAAGUGGAAUUUCAUAAUAAAAAUGUCUACCAUACAAAUGGUCAAGGCCAACUUUAUAGAGUUUCUNGGUGAGUCCCCUCGAUGAUGGCUCAUGAGCGGAUGAGGUUAUUAGGCGGGUCUGCUGUGGACUCAUCUCAUAAUCCAAGCGGACAUCCUUUUUUUUUUUUAAUGACGUCUUUUUUUUUUAAUGACGUUUUUUUUU